rnacentral:tRNA from 1 species
GGGCCUGUAGCUCAGUUGGUCAGAGCCGCCGACUCAUAAUCGGUAGGUCGCGGGUUCGAGUCCCGCCAGGCCCACCU